GCUUCCCUCUUUCUUCGUGCCUAAUACAUGCAAGUCGAGCGAACAGACGAGGAGCUUGCUCCUCUGACGUUAGCGGCGGACGGGUGAGUAACACGUGGAUAACCUACCUAUAAGACUGGGAUAACUUCGGGAAACCGGAGCGAAUACCGGAUAAUAUAUUGAACCGCAUGGUUCAAUAGUGACAGACGGUUUUGCUGUCACUUAUAGAUGGAUCCGCGGCGCAUUAGCUAGUUGGUAAGGUAACGGCUUACCAAGGCGACGAUGCGUAGCCGACCUGAGAGGGUGAUCGGCCACCCUGGAACUGAGACACGGUCCAGACUCCUACGGGAGGCAGCAGUAGGGAAUCUUCCGCAAUGGGCGAAAGCCUGACGGAGCAACGCCGCGUGAGUGAUGAAGGUCUUCGGAUCGUAAAACUAUGUUAUUAGGGAAGAACAAAUGUGUAAGUAACUAUGAACGUCUUGACGGUACCUAAUCAGAAAGCAACGGCUAACUACGUG
rnacentral:rRNA from 1 species